ensembl:lncRNA
AAAAUGCGCCCUGGUUUGGGUAUUUCUGCGGGAGGAACAGUGGUGAUGCAUGAAGGGAAUGGCCCUGAGCUCCUCUUGGCUGGAAACACCCCAGGCUUCGCUGCUGAGAAAGCUCAGAAGGAAAUCUCUGUUCUGAUGCCCCAUCUGCCAAGUGUUUCCCUAUCCCGACCCCAUAUGUCGCUCUGAUGUUCCCAUCUCCCUGCUCCCUGCAGCUCUUGGGUCCUCCAUUGGCAUCAGAGAGCAUCCAGUGUGUGGUUAUGGGCAUCAUGUGGGUUUUGAUGGAGAGCCCACAGGGAAAGCAGAGCAGAUCUUAGGGCUGCUCGGGUUGCUGUGUUGUGCUGGGUCUGAGGUGCACACGUUGUGCUGCUGUAGGAUGUUCACAUCUGUGGGAUCCAUGGGAUCUAUGCACCUAUGGGAUCUAUGUGACCUAUGUGAUCAAUGGGAUCUGUGCAGUUCUGGGACCUAUGAGACCUGUGGGAUCUGUGCACUUAUGGGAUCUAUGGGAUCAAUGUUACUUAUGAGUUCUGUGGGAUCUAUGAGAUCUACGGGAUCUAUGGAACCUAUGGGAUCCAUGCACCUAUGGGACCUAUGGGGUCUAUGGGACCUAUGAGAUCUAUGGGAUCUGUGGGAUCCAUGAGAUCUAUGUACCUAUGGGAUCUAUGAGAUCUAUGGGAGCUAUGAGAGCUAUGCGCCUAUGGGAUCUAUGAGAUCUGUGUAAUCUAUGAGACCUAUGGAACCUAUGGGAUCUACAGGAUCUGUGAGAGCUGUUAGAUUUAUGCACUGAUGGGAUGAAGACGCCAUGAGGUGCAGCAGCAAUGAAGCAGCAAUGAAGGCUCCAUGCAGGCUCGGGGUCUGCAGCCCCCAGCACUGGAGCACUGUGAGGAGGCACCGGGGGCUGUGCAGGCUCUGGGGGUCCCGAAGAGUUGUGGUCUGCAUUGCAAACCCAGCACCAACAUCCACACCUCGCUCAUGCAUGGAGACUGCGAUGCUGCAGCUUAGGCUCAACAGGGAGGAGCAGAACGCAGCUGCAAAGCCCACGCUGAGGGGCCAACCGACCUCCUUGGGGAAAGGAAAAUGCAAAAGGAUUAAGGGCUGUUCGUCCCCCUGCAACCUGCAGGCGAGUUCUCUGUGUGUGCUUUCGGAUUUGGCCGCAUGGAUUUCGUCCCAUCUUCCCCAUCCAGCAGCACUGAGAGACUUUUCCACCGGGAGAGAUGCUCAGAAACAGACGGGACAGCACCUCUGCCCUCUGCAAUUAACUCCAUGCUCACCUUCCUCCUCUCCUUUCUUCACCCUCCAUUAAGCAAGCCGUCACGCCGGGGCUCUCCCGACACCUCCAGCUUUCCCACCAGCAGACACUUUUGCCUCGUUAACUUUGCUGAGCUGCUUCACUUCAUAAGGAACACCUUUUUUUUUUUCUCCCCUUCGCUGCACCGCAUUUAAUUGUGAAGGCAUAAAAAUAAUACCUUGCACACGCAAGGCAGCCACGAGCGCAGGGUGUGCAGAGCAAGGUGCAAGGUUUCUUGAGCUGAGAAAUCCAGAAACGCAGAGAUUUGGAAACCCAGGCAUUUGGAAAUCCAAGCAUUUGGAAAGCCAGCAGCUCUUUAGGAACUCGGGAAUCCAGACAUGGAAAUGCAGGACUUUGGAAAUCCCGGAGUCUACAAACCCAUGGCCUCCCAGCUGCAGAGGCAGGCGCCGCUCUCUUGGUUCCCUCCCCAAUGGCCCCAUUCCAGCCACAAUUAGCAGCCUCUGAGGGACUGUGGUGUCCUGCGUUACAGCUUCCUAAUGUAAUUAUCACAGUAAAUGAACAAUGAAUUAAAUCAAGGAGAAAGGCAGGGGGAGAAACACAGUUGUGUAGCGCUGCCAGGGGUCAGAGCUGUGCUUGGCUCAAGGUAGGCAAUCCCCAGGGCUCCCUAAGGGCUUUUCUUCUCCUAAUGUGUGUCCUGAUCAGAAGUCGUAUCCCCAGCACAGGGAUGGCAGCCCGGGAUGUAGGGCAAAGAGUAGGGCUGGUGGGCCUGAGUGUAGGAGGAUGGAUGGGGGGAUGGAGGGAGAGAGGGAUGGAUGGGGGGAUGGAUGGAUGGAUGGUUGAAAGGAUGGAGGGAUGGAUGGAUGGAUGGAUGGAUGGAUGGAUGGAUGGAUGGAGGGAUGGAUGGAUGGAUGGAUGGAUGGAUGGAUGGAGGGAU